UCUUUCUUAUUAAUUUUCUUAAGUUUAGCUAAAUUUCUGACAAUUUCACGUGUCGCACUUUAUUUGUGUCUGUUGUGUUAUGUUGAUAACUUGCAGAUUUUACAUAUUUUAAUCAAAAUUUUGAUUUCCAAAAUGUCCCCUGAUCUUGAAAUCAUCAUGAUGGCAGCCUCCAUUUUAGAAAAGUCUAGAUUUAUGCCAAUUUGUCUGUGGUGUUACUGUCUUUUCUGGUAACACCACAGAGUAACUUGCAAUAUAAAGUCUGUGGUGUUACUUCAAAAUGACAUAGACAUAAGUGGCUUUGUCACCAGUGUUUGAUUGAAAUUAUUUAAAAAUCAAAAUGUUCUUAAGCUUUCAUUUGAAUGGAUAUAGCAUAUUAAACUAAUUUUAAAUGCCUAGCAAUAUAUUUUAUUAGAAAAAAACAAACAAGCAUUUUUACAAAUUCUGCCUCUCAUUUGCCACCCCAAUUGAAGAAUGACCCAAAAACAAUCAUAUUUUGACAGAAAAUCGAGUAAAUCUUUUUAAGAAGACCACAUUAGUGGACCUUGACACGUUUACUCUUAAAACGUGUCAAGAGUAAACAGUUUGAGGGAACGAGUCACGUGGUAAAUUAAAGUUUGCAUUUGGCACAAAGCGUUCCGUUCCACUAGAGGGCGAAACUCUCCCAUGAAUGGAGCAGAUCUAAGCAAGAUCCUCCUGGCAAAUGUUUAGUUAGCCGUCUUACAUCCAGGAAAAACCUGCAGCCUUAUGCUGCAUGAGGGGAUGACAUUUUCUGUCUUGUUCACCGUUUGCCCUUGUUCUUUGCUAUUGCCCAAAAAUAAUCCACAGUAGUUCUGGGAAACGUAUUUGUAGAUGAACUGCAGAUCUAUCUAUCUAUCUAUCUAUCUAUCUAUCUAUCUAUCUAUCUAUCUAUCUAUCUAUCUAUCUAUCUAUCUAUCUAAUGUCAAAAAUGAGGCCUACCAAGCCAUCCCAAGAUUCUCAGCACCUCAUUGUUUGCAGUCAUCUUCUGUUUAUUCACACCUCAGAUUCCGACUGUAAAACCAGCAGAAAUCAGCCCGUCUUUCAGCUCAGCUUUCUCACUUUAAGUCAUUUAUCAUUUUAAUGUUCACACGAGACUGUUUAUAUGAGUAAUGAUGAUAGCAUCACCGACAUGCUGUGAAACCAUACAGGGCUUUCAAUAAACACAUGAACGUCUCUAAUGUUCCACACAGUUAUUCUGAAUGAAAGAGGAAGGGACGGCCUGAGGAAAGUUGCUGACAUCCUGGUGAGGAAUUGCUUCUAGGGAAAGACCAGGCCUAUAUCAACUUUCAGUAUGUCUUUAUAUGCAUUUUUAAUUUUAUCAAAGGGUGGAGGGGGGCAUUAAGCUAUGCAAAUUGAAGUUAAGUCUGUAUUGUAUCUGUUUUGGCGACCGCUAAUAAAAUUGCAACCGUCUUUUCAACAUCACUUCAUGCCUUGCCUGGAGAACAAUGACAUUUUCCUGUAUCCCCUGAAUGGGAGGAAACAGCUUGGUGGGUACAGUGACCAAAAUGCCUCUUUGUCUCAGGGGUGUCUGCAUUCUCUUCCUGUAUGCUUUAGCAAUGGAAAACAUUGCCACACACAGCCUUAAAUAUUGCUGAAAUGUUGUGUUGUCCUUUAAGGAUAUACCCAGCCACUGCUAUUUGCUUUUCACUUAUGAUGCAAAUCAUACAUCUAUGUAAAACAUUGACUUGGUUUCAUUCUGAAGGGAUACAAUGGCAAAUCUUUGAUUAUAAGGAAGUUAUUGUGCUUUUUAAAGCUUAUUUCUAUCAAUUUAAGUUAUAAAAAUCAUCAAUACUGCCAGCACAUAUCUCAUAUUUUUGCUGCAUGUAUGACACUAAUAUGUCAGCACAUAACAGGAUCUGAGCAAUAAUCAAGAAGCGGUAAAGGAGAUUUGUCAGUCAUCCAUCACUUCCUGACUUGGCUUCACCAUUGUGUCGUGUUUCCAAAAGCCGGAAGACCCGAAGGAAUGCAGAUAGAGUAAGAACCAAUGACUGUGCAAUACAAUGCAACGGUAAGGAAAUGCCAAAGUGUUAACAUGUAUUUGCUGAAUGACCAAACAGAAUGAUGUGAAUAAGAACACUUGAACAUUCAGUAGCAGGUUUGUGUAGAUAAGAUGAAGAAUGUGUAAGGAACACAAAUAAUGCUUUCAGUGGAUUAACAACAUCCUUUAAUAUGACGUGGGAGAAGCAUGGGGGAAAAUGAUUCAGAGCCUCAGCCUUAAAAUGUAUUACAUUUACAGGAAAAAAGUAAUAGGCUUUGUGACCCUUGACAUUUUUGAAUUCCUGUCUUUGGCUUUUUCCUAUUUUUAUUUAAUAAUUGUAAUUUUUCUUAUUAUUUUAAUGUGAGUCGUUUUAUUUGUUUAAACUGAUUGCUAAACAACUCUUAAAUAUCUUUUCAGUUCCAGUUAAUUUGUCUGUCAACUAAUAUACAAGGUACAAGGCAACCUGAAACAAAGACGUUAGCGGAGCAUUCAUUUGGACCAAUGAGAUCUCACUGUGGGCGUGGCCUCCCAGCGCACCGCCAUAGAAAGUAACUAUAAGUAACUAUCAUUCAAACUAUUAUUCAAAUGACUGACUAAAAUGCCAACAGACUGGUCAUAAAGUCUAAUUUACAUGAUGAGGAGCGGGACCACAGUUACAUCCAAAUGGUAACGGAAACAACUUCUUGUUCUUGUUCCAGUGAAGGAGGAAACAACACAAAGGCUGCCAUGACAGCUGAAGAAACAGUGGAAGAUUCCCUUAGCAAGCUAAGGCAGCUGUGAGAGGAAGUUGUGGCAGAUGGAGAUCUAUGAAUCACACAGUGAGGAUCCACCCAUAUGAUAACUCCUCUCUCAUCAAGCCCCUUUGGAUACUGUUCGCUGUCGACCGAUCCAGGCCCGUUUUGGAUUACUCUUUGCCUUGCCUAUGAUAGCCACUGUUUGACCCUGCCUGUUAUGACCACGUCUAUGCUCAAUAAAA